GUGAUGAUUUGCAUUCUUCAUACCUUUGAUCUUUCACUUGGAUGCAGGUGCGUUAGCAUACGAUGGCCAAUUCAUUGCCUAGCUUUGGCACUGCUUUUACACAAACAUUAUUGUAACAAUCUCUCUCUCUUUCUAGACAAGGACAAUUGUGCGAUUAACAAUACUUGUCCAUCAAACUCGACAUGCACAACUAUUCCUGGUACUAUCGCAUGUUCAUGUGACACUGGAUUUACUGGAAACCAGACACACUGUCAAGGUAAACAAUUUCUUUG